rnacentral:rRNA from 1 species
AGAGUUUGAUCCUGGCUCAGAACGAACGCUGGCGGCGUGGAUUAGGCAUGCAAGUCGUGCGCGAACGGGGGCUUCGGCUCCUUAUUAGAGCGGCGAACUGGUGAGUACAAGAUGAAUAACGUACCCUUAAGUGGGGAAUAACCUCGGGAAACCGGGGAUAAUACCGCAUGUGUUCGACGGUUUAGUUAUCGUUGAACAAAGCAGCAAUGCGCUAAAGGAUCGGUUCAUCUCCCAUUAGCUAGUUGGUGUGGUAAUGGCGCACCAAGGCAACGAUGGGUAGCUGGUCUGAGAGGAUGGUCAGCCACACUGGGACUGAGAUACGGCCCAGACUCCUACGGGGGGCAGCAGUCUAGAGGCUUCGUCAAUGCCCGAAAGGGUGAACGAGCGACGCCGCGUGCGGGAUGAAGGUCUUCGGAUCGUAAACCGCUUUUAUUAGGAAAGAAGAUUAUGCUCGUGAAGCAUAGUUUGACGGUACCUGAUGAAUAAGCCUCGGCUAACUCCGUGCCAGCAGCCGCGGUAAUACGGAGGAGGCGAGCGUUGUUCGGAAUCAUUGGGCGUAAAGGGCUCGUAGGCGGACAGGUGUGUCUGGCGUGAAAUCUCCACUGCUUACCAGGGAGGGUGCGUUGGAAACUGCUUGUCUGGAGUAUGACAGAGGGUCGCGGAAUUCCGGGUGUAGCGGUGGAAUGCGUAGAUAUCCGGAGGAACACCGGUGGCGAAGGCGGCGGCCUGGGUCAAUACUGACGCUGAGGAGCGAAAGCUAGGGUAGCAAACAGGCUUAGAUACCCUGGUAGUCCUAGCUGUAAACUGUGGAUACUAGGUGUGGGAGGUAUCGACCCCUUCUGCGCCGGAGCUAACGUAUUAAGUAUCCCGCCUGGGAAGUACGGCCGCAAGGUUGAAACUCAAAGGAAUUGACGGGGGCCCGCACAAGCGGUGGAGCAU